UACGGAGGGUGCAAGCGUUAUCCGGAAUCACUGGGUUUAAAGGGUGCGUAGGCGGUCUUGUAAGUCAGUCGUGAAAUCGCUGGGCUCAACCCAUGCAAUUGCGAUUGAUACUGCGAGACUUGAAUGGGGUUAAGGCAGGCGGAAUGUGGCAUGUAGCGGUGAAAUGCAUAGAUAUGCCAUAGAACACCGAUUGCGAAGGCAGCCUGCUGGGCCUUUAUUGACGCUGAGGCACGAAAGCGUGGGGAGCAAACAGG
rnacentral:rRNA from 1 species